rnacentral:rRNA from 1 species
CAGCCGCCGCGGUAAUACGAAGGGGGCUAGCGUUGUUCGGAUUUACUGGGCGUAAAGCGCACGUAGGCGGACUUUUAAGUCAGGGGUGAAAUCCCGGGGCUCAACCCCGGAACUGCCUUUGAUACUGGAAGUCUUGAGUAUGGUAGAGGUGAGUGGAAUUCCGAGUGUAGAGGUGAAAUUCGUAGAUAUUCGGAGGAACACCAGUGGCGAAGGCGGCUCACUGGACCAUUACUGACGCUGAGGUGCGAAAGCGUGGGGAGCAAACAGGAUUAGAUACCCCUGUAGUCCCUGUCUCUUAUAC